GACGAACGCUGGCGGCGUGCCUAACACAUGCAAGUCGAGCGGGGACCUUCGGGUCCUAGCGGCGGACGGGUGAGUAACACGUGGGUAACCUGCCUUGUAGAGGGGGAUAGCCUUCCGAAAGGAAGAUUAAUACCGCAUAACAUUGUAUCUUCGCAUGAAGGAACAAUCAAAGGAGUAAUCCGCUACAAGAUGGACCCGCGGCGCAUUAGCUAGUUGGUGAGGUAACGGCUCACCAAGGCGACGAUGCGUAGCCGGCCUGAGAGGGUGAACGGCCACAUUGGAACUGAGACACGGUCCAGACUCCUACGGGAGGCAGCAGUGGGGAAUAUUGCACAAUGGGCGAAAGCCUGAUGCAGCAACGCCGCGUGAGUGAUGAAGGCCUUCGGGUUGUAAAGCUCUGUCUUCUGGGACGAUAAUGACGGUACCA
rnacentral:rRNA from 1 species